rnacentral:rRNA from 1 species
GACGAACGCUGGCGGCGUGCUUAACACAUGCAAGUCGAACGGAAAGGCCCUGCUUUUGUGGGGUGCUCGAGUGGCGAACGGGUGAGUAACACGUGAGUAACCUGCCCUUGACUUUGGGAUAACUUUAGGAAACUGGGGCUAAUACCGGAUAGGAGCUCCUGCUGCAUGGUGGGGGUUGGAAAGUUUCGGCGGUUGGGGAUGGACUCGCGGCUUAUCAGCUUGUUGGUGGGGUAGUGGCUUACCAAGGCUUUGACGGGUAGCCGGCCUGAGAGGGUGACCGGCCACAUUGGGACUGAGAGACGGCCCAGACUCCUACGGGAGGCAGCAGUGGGGAAUAUUGCACAGUGGGCGGAAGCCUGAUGCAGCGACGCCGCGUGCGGGAUGACGGCCUUCGGGUUGUAAACCGCUUUCGCCUGUGACGAAGCGUGAGUGACGGUAAUGGGUAAAGAAGCACCGGCUAACUACGUG